GGACUUCAAGGGGCCAUACAUGGUUUCCCCAUUCUAUUUUAGCUAUAGAACCACCUUAUGAGGUAGGCCAGACUGAAAUAUAAUGACUGGCAUAAGAUCACAAAGUAACUUCAGUACUCUGUGUCCCACUUCAUUUCAUAGAUGAAUAUAGAUUGUACCAUUGUUCUUCCCAUUCCUGCUCAGGCAUUCUGUCUAUCACAGCAUACUGCAUACAGAACAUCUGUCAGCUCUACUUUCUUUGGCAUGUUUCCUAGUAAAAUCUAUCUUGUGCAGCUAUAAUCUGGAUAUGCGGAGUGAGCUGUAGAUUUUUAUGGGCCCUCGGGCAAUAUGCAAGAAAAUUGGGCACCUCUGAAGAACUGGAAAUAGGAGCAAAAAGCAAUGAAGUAGACAAAAGACGUAUCAUUCCAAUGCAUUUCAGACCCUCCUCGUCCUUCAAGGAAAUGCAAACAUUUAACAUUUAUGUAUUUAUUUAUUUAUUUUGGUUUCUUUCAAUCUACCUUCUUUUUUUGUUUUUUUGUUUGUUUAUUGGGUUUUAUAAACAAGAACGAUGUUAUACAAAGAAGAAUACCAGGUUUUCUCAUGUCAUUUGUAUAUCACAAAAAUGGCAUAAUAAAUGUAGAAAAAUAUCUACAACAUACGUUUCAUUAUUAGUGGUCACUGUAUGAGUUCUUGAUUUAUGAAUUGGUUUAAACAAUUAGGAAGAAGAAGAAGAAGAAGUAGAAGAAGAAGAGAGGAGAAAGGGGGGAGAGGGGGGAAUGGUGAGUGGGUGGAGUUGGGUGGUUAUGCUUCUAUUCUACUUAGUGGGGGUGUAUGGAUUGUGUCAGUGUUACUUGUAUGGGUUCUCUUGCUAUUCACUUGUUGGGUUUCCUUGGUGGUGAGAGAGGUUGGGUGUGACUUAGGGUCUGGUUGGUUGUCUUUGGUUGGCUGUAGUGAGAAUUGUUUUUGUGUGUGAGCAGAGAACAUUUAACAUUUAUAUUAGACAGAACAUCUAAAUGUCAAAACUUUAUUUUAGGUAUUUUUUUCCUGAAAAAGGACCAGCAAGAUCCAAAAUGCAUUGGAAUCAUGUCUAUCCUGUUGCAUUUUGCUCCUACUUCCCUUAGGCAGAAGGCGGGUAAUGAUCUACUUUUAGCUCAAUUUUCCACUAGAACAUAUUACUGAAGAAAGAGUACCCUUCAGGAUGUACACUCUAUUACUGCAUAACUGAUGUCAGAAGCCAAACAUCUAAAAUCUAGGCAUAGAGUCUUACAGAGCAAAGUUUCAUUCAUAUAGGAAGCCUGGCACCUUUCAGAUACAGGCAACACAACAUAGGCUCAAAACCCACCUGUACAAACAAAAUAGGACAAAAAACAAGCAUGCUAUCAUCAGGUCUGUAGAUCAUAUCAAGAUUCCUGUUGCUAAUGUAAUGUGUGUGUGUGUGAAGAUAAUAGCUUGCUUGAGAGAGAAGAUAGCAGCACUGAGAGAUUCAUGAUGACUCUCUCAACAGUGACUGUAUCUUGGUCAACCCUGCCAACGAUUGACACUGGUGACCCCACGUAAAAUAUUCCAAAAUUGUCUGAAAAGCUCUUUUAAUAGCCAAAUACCACUUCUAUUAGAAGACUGACACUUUGAUGUGUUAAUCCCUCACAUGAGAAUUUGUUAUGGGUCUUUGCCAUAUUUGCUGUGACUAAAAUGUACAUUGUGAAAAAGGAACUGUCUUCAAUAUCAGUAUCAUGCGAUACACUGAAAAAUAUCUUGCUUUGCAUACUUCAUCUACCUGAAGGAGUGAUUUUGUUAUUCAUUAACACCUGUGAUACUUGUAGGGGGGAAUGGCUGUGUGUGUGUAUUGAAACCUUGAUGUAGUGUUUAUUAUACAUUUUGGAUGUUUUACUGGACUAUGUUACUGGUCUAGGCUGAUUUCUGUGCAUAAUCAUUGUGUUCCAUAUUUCUUUAUUUCGUUUACCAUCAUUUACUGCAAAAAAGAAGAAACAGACACAUCCCUUUGUACAAGCCAAUCUUAUAGCAUGUUGUAUAUAAAUUAUGAAAUCUGUUAGUAUGUACACCUGUGCUGCAAGGGGCGCAGCCUUCUCCAGCAGUCUCCUACCUGACCAAGCAGAGGAGACUCAGGUUUUUGAGGGUCUUUUACAAUGAGGUCAGAGUGCUACAUCAUUGGGCUGGUGGGUGGGGACUAGCCCCACUGGUACUUCUGGUAGUCAUGCCUCUGGGGUUUGCCCUGUAUGCCCUUCAGAGUCCUCAACUCCAUCACCUGAUGAAGAGGAAUCCAUCUUCUGAUCCCUGACAAAGAGGAGUUGUACUACAAUUCCCAUUACAUUUUACUACCUGUUUUAAGAACGCCUUGUGAAUGUCUUUUCUUCCUUCAAUAAUUAACAGAGUAUGGUGGCAAGGAAAUCUUUUAUUAAUAAUGUUCUCAGGCACUGACCUUGCUCUAUUCAUUAUGAAUAGUCAAUAGCAGUUGCAACUUAAAAAUGCUCUGCUCUAGAAGAUAGAAGGCAUAGCAUAUUAUCUAUGUACAUGUGCCAAGAAUCUAUAACUACAUUAUUGUUUCAUUUAAAGUUGUAUUUUUUUAAGCCAAAGCUGCUUCAAAUAUGAUACUUCAUGUGCCCUUGGUUAGGAAUUCAAAAAGGAUGCCUUGGGCUGCUUUCUUGUGAUUCCUUAAUGUUCUGCAAGGUGACUUUUCCACAUUCAAGUUCCCACUAUUACAAAUGACUGACGUUAUCCCCAGUUUUGAAACUGCACACACAAAAGAGUGAGUUAAAAUGUGAUGCGCUUUAAAUCUGAGUGGUUAUGCUGAAAAUGGAUCAGACAGCAUUACAUAUUUCAAUUAAUUUCCUAGAAUACUAAACCAAUCAGACAUAUUCUUCACUCCAGGCAACAAAAUAAUUUUGGGUUUGGAUAAACUUGAUCUUCAGUUAAUCUUCAGUUAAGGUCAAAUAUUUCUGGCAGUGCAACAAAUCAGAAACAGCAGGAAAUAGUUUGGAACAAAGUUGGAAACCACAAUAAUGGUAAACGGUCCCAAAUAUUUUAUCCCUUGAUUUAAAUACUUGGCUACCUAUGGAGUCUCUAUUGUUGCUUUUAGUUGCUGGAUUUUUCUAGGCAGCAUUUCUGCCCACAGUGGCACUUGGGCAAAUCUUGUUAAAAUGGGGAUGAGAUACAUUAAACUGGGCUGGAGUACAGCCUUAAGAAACAAAGUACAUCUAUCCUCAUGUCUCUACUAUCCCUGUCUCAGGAGAAGCAGAAGCAUGCUUUUUAUUUAUUUACAGUGGUACCUUGGUUCUCAAAUGCCUGGGAACUCAAACAACUUGGAACUCAAACACUGCAAACCUGGUUGUAAGUGUUCUGGUUUGUGAACUUUUUUUCAGAAGCUGAACGUUUUGAGUGCCACACUUCUGAUUUGAGUGCCACACUUCCAUUUUGAGUGUUAUACUGAGGUCUGUCUGUUUUUGCUAUUUUUUUGCAUUUUUUUUGUUUUUGCAGCUCUUUUUUGUUUUGUUUUUGUGACUGUUUGGAACCCAGUUCAGCUACUGAUUGAUUGUGUGACUGAAGUACAUUGUUUAUUACUUUCAAUUCAUGCUAAAUUGCUGUUUUAGGGAUUGCUUUUAAACAUGUGGAACAGAUUAAUCCAUUUUGCAUUACUUUCUAUGGGAAAACACACCUUGGUUUUGGAACAGACUUCUGGAACGGAUUAAGUUUGAAAACCAAGGUAUCACUGUACAUGAAAAAGACAUGAAUUUAUUGUAUAAAUGCAUGUCUCCAUGGGCUUCUGAUUGACAUCUGGACCUCUGGACAAGCAGAGAGCUGCCCAAUUCUCUCCAACAUUGUGUGUGUGUGUGUGUGUGUGUGUGUGUGUGUGUGUGUGCAUCUGUGUGAAAUAAUUUGUGCAGUUAGACUGUGUGGAACAAUCCCUCAUACUUAAGAGGAAGGGAUAGUCUCUAUAAGGAACAGGAUCCAAAUGCCACUGUUCAGAGGUAACGGGCUUUAUCUCCAACAGUUUGGUUCCCCGAAACCUGAAUAAUUCAAAUAAUACAUAGGAAUCUGCCAUAUAUCAAAUCAGACCUAUCUACCUCAGUAUUGUCUCUCUCAGCCCUACCUGGAGAUGCCAGGAAUCAAACCUGAGACCCUCUGCUCUUCCACUGAGUUCCACUAAGCCCUUCCACAAGAUUUAGGUACAUGUAGAGCUUUGAUGUUCCAAUGCUUAGUGCCCUUCCCACAGACAAACAGGGAAUUUUAAAAAAAGAGGGACAUCCUUGUUUGCGUAUGGAAUGCUCCCAACAGAGUCUAAGAAAAACAUUUUCAUCCCUUUUCACAUCUUUUAAUUUUAAAAGUAGAAGAAGCAUAUUAUCCUCUCAUUACUAACCUUUGUCUUACUCUGACUGUCCACGUGGAUUUGGGAGAGGCACACGUUUAGAUUUAAAGUCAUUUUGUUGUUAAAUUUUGCAAACUUCUCUUCUCUUCCCUCAUUCCUUCCAGAAGUCCAAGGUGUUACUUAAAAGCGCUUGUAGCAAAAUAUUUUUUUUUCUAAGCAGAAAAAAAUCUAGCAUGUACUGCAGUAAAAUGCUUUGAAGCUUAAAGUAAUCCUAGGAAAGAAAAACAUGGAACCCAGCUGGAACAAGUUUGGCCAGAAUUGGUGCUUUACUCUCAUCUAGCCAGGCCUCGGAGAUACAUACCAGGGCAACAGCCUCAUCCAGUUUUAAAAUGGUGGACAAGACCGAUUUAGUUCGCUAUUUAAGUAUUAUUAAUGAGUGUGAUAGUUGUUGUUGUUGCUUGAUUUAUAGCCUACCCUUCCUCCUGAAGGAGCCCGGGAAGGCAGACAAAGAAUGAAAUAACAUUAAAGAUAAUCUAUACAAAAAUGAAACACAUUAUUAAAAAAAUAAACAUGUUAUCUCAAAGAUGGCAUCUCUUAGCCGUCAGAUGCUUGAGUAAACAGGAAUGUUUUUAACUUUCUCCUGAAAGUUAAUAUAAUGAGGGAGACAGACCUCACUAUGGACGGCAUUCCACAAAUAGGGAAUGAAAAGGCCUUUUGCACACUGCACACUGGUCAACACCAAGCAACCAGUGUGCAGUGGAGCCCCCACCAAGGUCUCACCUGCCAAACACAGGGUCCAAGAUGGCUGACCUUGAGGAAGGUACUAUUUUACGUACUUGGUUCCCAAGCCAUUUAGAGAUUAAGUCCAGUAGCUCACUGAAUCUGGUCCAGUAGCUCACUGGCAGCAAAUGCAGAAAUAUCAGGACUAGUGACUCGUGGUGUCAUUGGGCUGUCCCAGUUUCCAACCUAAUAGCUGCAUUUUGCACUAGCUGCAGCAUCCAGACCACAUACAGCACAUUACAGGAGUCCAGAUGGGAGGCCACCAGAGAACAGACAGCUGAGACCAAUCCAGGAAUGACCAUAGCUGGCAAAUCAGCCUAAGCUGGCAAAAGUAUUCCUAGCCACAGAAGCCAGUUGAAAAAGCAAGUUGGAAUUCAUGCCAGACUACAAACCUGUUCCUUCAGCAGGAGUACAACCCCUCCUAGGACAGGUUGUCCACCUAAUCCCUGGACACGGGAGACACCCGCCCAAAGCGAGUGCAUCUUAUGUGAUCCAACACUUUCACAACCUCUCCUGAUGCAGAUGGAAUGGAGAGAUAGAGCUGCCUGUCAGCAGCGUAUUAAGAGCACCACUGGAUGACAGUUCCCAACAGUCUGUAUCAGGCAUAGGCAAACUCCGGCUCUCUAGAUGUUUGGGACUACAGAUCCCAUCAACCCUGACCACUGGUCCUGUUAGCUAGGGUGAUGGGAAUUGUAGUCCCAAACACCUGGAGGGCCAGAGUUUGCCUAUGCCUGGUUUAUGUGAAAAGCGCUUCCUCCCUCACUCAGGGGAUAAAAGCUGAGGGUUUAGACCAGUGGGUUGGAGUUAGCAGGGAUGUAAUCUGGAGCGGGGGCAGGGCAUCAGCUUUGCUGUCCAUUUGAGUGCAAGGCUGAAGCUAUGGAAGAAACAGGGGCUUUUUGGGGUGCAAUGCUGUGAGCCUCUCCAUCCAGGUUCAGCUUGUAAAUAUAUCUGUUUAAAUAAACCAUAUAUCAUAAAGACACCAUAGUCAACGCUGUGUCUCAUUUGUCCAAAAAGAAACACAGACAAUGGGUUAAAGCAUGCCUGCAACCCCUGGGGUGGUGUGAAACAGUAUACUGAGACUUUGGGAUGAAUUAGUUUUAAACAAAAUAAUAAAAAUAAUAACAAAAUGUUAAAUAACAAUUAUUCUGAUUUGUGGGAGGGACGUCAACUAGAUUAUAUAGUUAAACUCUCUCCCCCACACCCUCAUAUUUGCAUCAAGAAAGCUCUAGUUGAGCUGGAAAAGGUGCGGUGAGGUUUUUUUUAAGGUCUCACAUAAAAAAUAUUCCUUCAUUUUUCAGGAUGAGUGUGUAUUUCUAAAUACGAAAUGUGCAAAAUAUAUCUACAUCUCCAAAAUGACUUGUGGGUUUCAAAAUGCCCCCUCCCUUUCUGUAUUUCCUUUCCCUUCCAUCCCCUCCCAGUUUUCAAACCUAAAACCUGCCAAAGAAAACAUAAUACACAGAAGGAUAUCAGGUAUAACAUUAAUCAAAGUCAGCUCCCACAACAACUGCGGCACGUUUGAAAGAAAAGGCUAGGAAAAUCACUAUCAAGGACCAAAAGCAAUGACAUCAAUGCACCUCCAUGAUGAAACUUAAAUGGUAAAUUCUUUUCUUUAGGUCAGGCACAGCUGUUAAUAACAAAAUGUAAAUAAUAUCGGACAAAGUGGAAAUUUUGCAUUUUUACCCUCACAUUUCCUUUUGCAAAUCUGAUCAUUAACAUGCCUACAGAGCCAUGGGGAACCUGUGGACCACGAGAUGUUAUUGAACUGCAAGUACCAUUAUCCCAAACCACUGACUAUGCUGGCUGGGGCUUGUGGCAAUUGGAGCUCAACAAAAUAUUUUUUUGGUGGGGGUUCACAGGUCCAACAUGAUUCUGGUUGUAUGUUAAUAAUCAGAUUUCCAAAAGGAAAUAUGAGGAUGAAAUGCAAAGUUUGUAUCAUCUAUUUUAUUUUAUUGAAGCUCUCCACAGAUGUUGAGACAUCCAUUUUAUUCUCCUUAAAAAUGGGGAAACUAUUUGUAUCCAUGAAUACUAUUACAGCCUUGAAUGUCUACUGCAGACAGUUUUUCUUCCUUAGCCUUUUGCACUUCUCCCUAAGGAGAUGCUUAUAAUUAGUCCUUGGAGAUGGAUUCACUUAACUGAGAUUCAUGACCAGGGCACUGCAGCAAAAAUGCAACCCACAAACAGGCAAUUUUUUAGUGUCAAUUUUCUCCCUUAACUGCAAUUUAUUUGGGGUUUCCCCCCACUCCUAAUGGUCUGCCGUGAUGUUUAACAUUUAAAAAAAAAAACUUUUCAGAAGAAAAAUUUCUGUCAGUUUUCCACAGAUGCAAAAGCCAUAAAAACGUAUUUUGUAGACAAAAAAAGAGAGAUAUUAAUAAAAAACAAAGCAGAACCCCCUAGAAUGGAAAAUUUAACAAAGAGUUUCAGUAUUACUUUGUAGCCAUUAAUAAAACCCUUUCCAGAGCUUGUGAAAUAUAAGUAGGUCAAGUACAAAAACAUUAGCAGGAUAGGAAUGUUUUUCAAUUGCCUUUAUAAUCCAUGUUAGCGGCUAACAAGUAUGGUGCUUUAGAACUGUAUUCAAGAGAUGGGGGUGUUUCUUUGUUCAGUUUCUGCCUGCUGACAUUAAAUACUGUUUUCCUAAUUAUUAACAUUUUGAGAAAAUCACUAUUGCCUUUGGAUAACAUGGGAUUGAAUCUGUUUUAGAAAAAAUGUUCAAGAUGGUGCUUAAAUUUUACCAAAAACUGAGAUGCUUUUUUUCACUUCCUGAUAUUCUCUCUCCCCCCCCUUUCACACACAGAUAUACGACAACAAAACAUGCUAUAUUACAUUAGAUACUGCCUCAUCCAUUAUAUAUCCAGUAGGCCACUGCAGCUUCUCCUUCAAGUUCCAAAUAUCUCAGAAGCCCAUAGAGUGGUGGCAUCAGAAAAAAAACAAUAUUGGGAGGCAAAGAAGGAGCAAAGUAUAUUUCUAGCUGAGGAGUUGUGUGCUACAUGUUAGCAUCUCUGAAAGAAGAUGUAGCCUUUCAGUUGUACUUGAUCUCAGCAACUCCCUGUAAGGGUGGUUGAGAAUCAAAUAAGUUUUUUUGGAUGGGAAAAUUGGAAAUUCACACAUGGAGUCUAUGCAGCUGAACCUACAAUUCUACAUUAAAAGUACCUAGCUGGCAACCAAUAGCAUCUACACAGAAUGAUAAGAACAGGAAGCAUUUUAAAGGAAUUUUUCCCUUUUAGCCAGUUAAUGGGAGAAUGGACAAGAUGCUUGACUGACUUAUAUUUAAAUGUUCUUAAUAUUGUUGAGUCUAUAAAAGAAGAAAGGGAUGAUUUGGUAUCUUUACAAAAACUGCAGUAAGGUGUAAAAUGCAUAAACAAAAAUUGAUGGUUGGGUGAUUCCCCCCCCCAAAAAAAAAUUAAGUUGAUUUCAGAAAAAUUCCAGAGAGCCAGACUGUGUUUUAAUAUUGUUCUUCUUUGUUUAUGGAGCACACAGCCUAGUGUUAAAAUUGGAUGCCUGGGAUACAGCCUAAAUGAUUGUUCAAUUACAUCUUAAAUUAGUUCAUUCAUUCAAGAGCUGGAAAAACAAGCUGACCGGCAGCAUGAGGUUGCUUGAUGAGGAAAGAAGUGAAUACAAAAAAAGCUUUAAUCUUCCAACAAGUCUUUUUCCUGAGCCACAAUAAGGGAUUGAUGUUGCAUUUUAAACUAAUCAAUCAAAUGAGUUCUGUGUACAAAUGUUAAUGAAUACACAAAAAGUAUACCAUUUAACAUCAAGCAUCAAAAAGCCUUUGUGAAGCUAACCAUAUGGCAAAAGGAAUAAAUUCUUUUAUGUAGUUUUAAGCAAUCAUUGCAGCAUAAUUAUUGUCAGGAAGCUUUUCCACAUAGAACUACUUUCAACGUUAAAUGUGUCAUUUUUAUAUGCAAACUGAAAGCCCUUCUCUGCACACACCCUUGUGAAGACUAUGCAUGCAUUGUAUAUUAUAUUUACAAUCAAGUUGGCUGUAAAACCUUGUGAAUGCAAUAACAAUAUGCAUAUAUAUUAUUUAUUAUAAUUGCAGUCAGUUUGGCUGCAAAACCUGCACGUAGGAUUUAAGAAGCACCUACGCCUUGUCAAAGAACAACUAAGGUGGAGGGAGGUGGAAUAGUGAGGAGCAGCAACUGCUGCUGUGCCAAAAUAUGUCUUCUACAGUGGUACCUCGGGUUACAGACGCUUCAGGUUACAGAUGCUUCAGGUUACAGACUCUGCUAACCCAGAAAUAGUACCUCAGGUUAAGAACUUUGCUUCAGGAUGAAAACAGAAAUUGCGCGGUGGUGGCAGUGGGAGGCCCCAUUAGCUAAAGUGGUAACUCAAGUUAAGAACAGUUUCAGAUUAAGAACGGACCUGCAGAAUGAAUUAAGUUCUUUUUUUUUUUUAAUGAUAUUUAUUGAAAAAAGAUUUUUUUUUAAAUUAC